rnacentral:rRNA from 1 species
AAGUAUAUGUAUAAUUUAUUAUACAGAAACUGCGAACGGCUCAUUAAAACAGUUAUAAUCUACUUGAAGUUAUGUCAAAUUAUAAGGAUAACUACGGAAAAUCUGUAGCUAAUACUUGCUCGAUUGUCCAGAAAAAUCAGUGGUUUUUAUCUGUUGACAGGUAUUUGUUGCGUGAAAAAAGAUCGACACAAUUCAAGGAAUGAUAACAAAGAAACAACACGUAUAAAUGAAUAAUUUUAUUAGUGUGUAUCAAUUGAGUUUCUGACCUAUCAGCUUUUGAUGUUAAGGUAUUGGCCUAACAUGGCUUUGACGGGUAACGGGGAAUUAGAGUUCUAUUCCGGAGAGGGAGCCUGAGAAAUAGCUACCACAUCUAAGGAAGGCAGCAGGCGCGUAAAUUACCCAAUUCUAAAGAAGAGAGGUAGUGACAAGAAAUAACGAUACAAGACCAAAUUUUGGUUUUGUAAUUGGAUUGAUAGGAAUUUAAAACUUUCCUAAAUAUCAAUUGGAGGGCAAGUCUGGUGCCAGCAGCCGCGGUAAUUCCAGCUCCAAUAGCAUAUAUUAAAAUUGUUGCAGUUAAAACGCUCGUAGUUGAAUUUCAAGGAGUCUUAUUUUUAAGGGAUAUUUAUAAUUUCAACCACGCAUUGUGCUUAGCUGUGUUCUACACAAUGCCAAGUACAUUUCGUACGUUCGUCAGUAUGGUAUGUUUCUUAAAAUAAAUUUAUGACUCCGUCAAGUUUACACUUUGUACAUGCUAUAUGUAUGAUAUGUAAACUCGUUACUUUGAGUAAAUUAGAGUGUUUAAAGCAAAUAUAUAUAUAUUUAUGUUCUGAAUACUGCAGCAUGGAAUAACAUGAUCGAGAGUGUUAAAAUUUGUUCUUUUCAUUAUUUUAGCGCGGAACGGUUAAUAGGAGUAGUUUGGGGGCAUUCGUAUUCAGAUGUUAGAGGUGAAAUUCUUAGAUUUUCUGGAGACGAACAACUGCGAAAGCAUUUGCCUAAAAUACUUCCAUUAAUCAAGAACGAAAGUUAAGGGAGUGAAGACGAUCAGAUACCGUCGUAAUCUUAACCAUAAACUAUGCCAACUAGGUGUUGGAUUCAAGUAUAUAAAAUAAAAAGGUUAUUUAAUGAAUUAAUUAAAUAAAUUUUUUUAGUUUACUUUUUUCAGUGCCCUAUGAGAAAUCAAGGUCUUUGGGUUCUGGGGCGAGUAUUCGCGCAAGCGAGAAAGUUAAUAGAAUUGACGGAAGGGCACCACCAGGCGUGGAGCUUGCGGCUUAAUUUGACUCAACACGGGGAAACUCACUAGUUUAAGACAAGAGUAGGAUUGACAGAUUAAAAGCUCUUUCUUGAUUUCUUGGAUGGUGAUGCAUGGCCGUUUUUAGUUCGUGAAUAUGAUUUGUCUGGUUAAUUCCGAUAACGAACGAGAUCUUAGCCUGCUAAUUAGCGGUAAGUAUGUGAUAUUUUUACAUAAUAGAAUAUAUUAGCAUAUUUAUGGAUGCAUGACAUAUGUGUAAGUUAUGAAAUAUUAGAGACCUUUUGGGUUUUUUUCUUUUGUUUUAUGCUUAUGAAGAAGUAAUUCCAUACAUCUAAUUUUCUAAAUUAUGUAAAAAUAUAUAUUUAUUAAAUUGUAAAGCUUCUUAGAGGAACAUUGUGUAUCUAACACAAGGAAGUUUAAGGCAACAACAGGUCUGUGAUGUCCUUAGAUAAACUAGGCUGCACGCGUGCUACAAUGAUAUAUAUAACAAGUUACUAAAAAUAUACAAAUGUACAUGUAUUUUAUAUGUGUAUAUUUUUGUAUACUUUUCCUCCACUGAAAAGUGUAGGUAAUCUUUAUCAGUAUAUAUCGUGAUGGGGAUAGAUUAUUGCAAUUAUUAAUCUUGAACGAGGAAUGCCUUGUAAGCAUGAUUCAUUAGAUUGUGCUGACUACGUCCCUGCCCUUUGUACACACCGCCCGUCGCUCCUACCGAUCGAAAGAUAUGAUAAAUUGUUUGGACAAGAUAAAAUAAAAUAUAUAUUUGUUUUUGUUUUGAAAGGACCGUAAAUCUUAUCUUUUAAAGGAAG